rnacentral:rRNA from 1 species
UGGGGAAUAUUGCACAAUGGGGGAAACCCUGAUGCAGCGACGCCGCGUGAGCGAAGAAGUAUUUCGGUAUGUAAAGCUCUAUCAGCAGGGAAGAAAAUGACGGUACCUGACUAAGAAGCCCCGGCUAACUACGUGCCAGCAGCCGCGGUAAUACGUAGGGGGCAAGCGUUAUCCGGAUUUACUGGGUGUAAAGGGAGCGUAGACGGCGUAUCAAGUCUGAUGUGAAAGGCAUGGGCUCAACCCGUGGACUGCAUUGGAAACUGGUAUGCUUGAGUGCCGGAGGGGUAAGCGGAAUUCCUAGUGUAGCGGUGAAAUGCGUAGAUAUUAGGAGAACACCAGUGGCGAAGGCGGCUUUACUUGGACGGUAACUGACGUUGAGGCUCGAAAGCGUGGGGAGCAAACA